rnacentral:rRNA from 1 species
UGAUACGCGAGGAACCUUACCGUUGGCUUGAAAGUUAGUGACAUUUCUGUGAAAGCAGAACUUCCGCAAGGACACGAAACUAGGUGCUGCAUGGCUGUCGUCAGCUCGUGCCGUGAGGUGUUGGGUUAAGUCCGUAACGAGCGCAACCCCUAUCAUUAGUUGCCAUCAGGUCAUGCUGGGGACUCUAAUGAGACUGCCCGCGCAAGCGGUGAGGAAGGUGGGGACGACGUCAAGUCAUCACGGCCCUUACGUCCAGGGCUACACACGUGCUACAAUGGUAGAUACAGCAGGUUGCCACAUGGUAACAUGGAGCUAAUCCCAAAAGUCUAUCUCAGUUCGGAUUGAGGUCUGCAACUCGACCUCAUGAAGCUGGAUUCGCUAGUAAUCGAAAAUCAGCAAUGUUUCGGUGAAUACGUUCCCGGGCCUU